rnacentral:siRNA from 1 species
AGGCAAUAACAGGUCUGU